AGGUACUUCUGGAGAAGUGGAAUGCAUCAGUCACACAGUUCACUGUGCCCAGAUGCUGGAAUGGUUUGAGUACUACAGACGCAUAUGCAUUAUUUCUGAGCUCAUGGGACUCAGCACCUCUGAGCUGCAUUGAAAAGAACUGCUCUCUGCCAUUUAAGCUGGAUCACAUUAGACAGAUGGCACAUCAGACCCGCAGAUCUGUGAACUGUAAGUAUGUUUCCUUUUUACUUUGUUAUGUGAAUCAAAAUUUUCUU